rnacentral:rRNA from 1 species
CCGGCACGGGUGAGUAACGCGUAUGCGACCUGCCCGUUGCAGGGGGGAUAAUCGGGAGAAAUCCCGUCUAAUACCGCGUAACGCCGCGGGGCUGCAUGGCCCUGCGGCCAAAGGGAGCGAUUCCGGCAACGGAUGGGCAUGCGUGACAUUAGCUAGUUGGCGGGGCAACGGCCCACCAAGGCGACGAUGUCUAGGGGUUCUGAGAGGAAGGUCCCCCACACUGGUACUGAGACACGGACCAGACUCCUACGGGAGGCAGCAG